rnacentral:ncRNA from 2 species
AGCAGCCGCGGUAAUUCCAGCUCCAAUAGCGUAUAUUAAAGUUGUUGCAGUUAAAAAGCUCGUAGUUGAACUUCGGGGUCUACCCAUUGGUCAGGCUUAAUUGUCUGCACUGGUGAGAUGGAUCUCUACCUUCUGAGGAACUUUCAUGCCAUUUAUUUGGUGUGGUUGGAAAUCAGGACUGUUACUUUGAAAAAAUUAGAGUGUUUAAAGCAGACUAUCGUCUGAAUACAUUAGCAUGGAAUAAUGAAAUAGGACGGACUGAUUCUAUUUCGUUGGUUUCUAGGAUCACCGUAAUGAUUAAUAGGGAUAGUUGGGGGCAUUAGUAUUCAAUUGUCAGAGGUGAAAUUCUUGGAUUUAUUGAAGACUAACUACUGCGAAAGCAUUUGCCAAGGAUGUUUUCAUUAAUCAAGAACGAAAGUUAGGGGAUCGAAGACGAUCAGAUACCGUCGUAGUCUUAACCAUAAACUAUGCCGACUAGGGAUCGGACGAAGUUAAUUUUAUAAUGACGCGUUCGGCACCUUACG